CGUAGGGACCAAGCGUUGUUCGGAUUUACUGGGCGUAAAGGGCGCGUAGGCGGCUUGACAAGUCACUUGUGAAAUCUCCGGGCUUAACUCGGAACGGCCAAGUGAAACUGCCAUGCUAGAGUGCAGAAGGGGCAAUCGGAAUUCUUGGUGUAGCGGUGAAAUGCGUAGAUAUCAAGAGGAACACCUGAGGUGAAGACGGGUUGCUGGGCUGACACUGACGCUGAGGCGCGAAAGCCAGGGGAGCAAACGGGAUUAGAUACCCCGGUAGUCCUGGCCCUAAACGAUGAAUACUUGGUGUCUGGAGUUUUUAGUGCUCCGGGUGCCGUCGCUAACGUUUUUAGUAUUCCGCCUGGGGAGUACGCUCGCAAGAGUG
rnacentral:rRNA from 1 species